rnacentral:snRNA from 1 species
CUUGCUGCUCAGCCUUUUGGCUAAGAUCAAGUAUGGUAUCUGUUCUUACCAGUUUAAAACCAUCACAGUUGUAAUAGAGCUUUUGAGAGGAUUAUGUAAGAUAAUUAUUUAGGAGGCAGUUAGUGCAUUGCCAGGCACAAGUGAAGUGCUUAGUUAAGUGUUAGCUACUAGCUGUAGCUCAGUUUCAUUGAGGUACAGGUGACUUACU